rnacentral:lncRNA from 10 species
GCCACACUUGGGCCAAUAACUAACCUAGAUGUAAGUUUCAAUGAAUUAACUUCCUUUCCUACGGAAGGCCUGAAUGGGCUAAAUCAACUGAAACUUGUGGGCAACUUCAAGCUGAAAGAAGCCUUAGCAGCAAAAGACUUUGUUAACCUCAGGUGUGUUUUUGCUUAUUUUUCUUUUUUGUUGAAGUUAUGGUAGGCUCCAAAAUUACAGAGUGUCCUGGUUUUUUGCUCUGGUUCUCAGAUUUUCUGAUAGGCUAUAAUUUAAGGGUGUUUUCUACGUCAGUCUUUGCAAAUUUGGUGAAAAAUAGAAUAUGAACAUUAUUCCACAGUCUUUAAGAAUGUGAACUGGAGCCCUUGAUGGCCUCAAAGAGAUAAUACAGCUAUUCACCAGAAUGGUUUUUUAAUACAGUGGACUUUUCAUUAGCAAUAAGAUGGCAGAAACCAUGUAAAUGUGAACCUGCAGAAAACAAUGCUAUAAUACUUCAUGAAGGUUUUAGAGUUAUGGGGGACUGCAUUAAAUAUAAUAGAGAGUAUUGUUACGAGGCCGAGCGUGGUGGCUCGCACCUGUAAUCCCAGUACUUUGGGGAAGGCCAAGGUGGGCUGAUCACUUGACACCAGCAGUUCAAGACCAGCCUGGGCAACAUGCUGAGACCCUGUCUCUACAAAAAAUAUAAAAGUUAGCUGGAUGUGGUGGCACGUGCCUG